UGACGAGUGGCGGACGGGUGAGUAAUGUCUGGGAAACUGCCUGAUGGAGGGGGAUAACUACUGGAAACGGUGGCUAAUACCGCAUAACGUCGCAAGACCAAAGAGGGGGACCUUCGGGCCUCUUGCCAUCAGAUGUGCCCAGAUGGGAUUAGCUUGUUGGUGAGGUAACGGCUCACCAAGGCGACGAUCCCUAGCUGGUCUGAGAGGAUGACCAGCCACACUGGAACUGAGACACGGUCCAGACUCCUACGGGAGGCAGCAGUGGGGAAUAUUGCACAAUGGGCGCAAGCCUGAUGCAGCCAUGCCGCGUGUAUGAAGAAGGCCUUCGGGUUGUAAAGUACUUUCAGCGGGGAGGAAGGUGUUGUGGUUAAUAACCGCAGCAAUUGACGUUACCCGCAGAAGAAGCACCGGCUAACUCCGUGCCAGCAGCCGCGGUAAUACGGAGGGUGCAAGCGUUAAUCGGAAUUACUGGGCGUAAAGCGCACGCAGGCGGUCUGUCAAGUCGGAUGUGAAAUCCCCGGGCUCAACCUGGGAACUGCAUUCGAAACUGGCAGGCUUGAGUCUUGUAGAGGGGGGUAGAAUUCCAGGUGUAGCGGUGAAAUGCGUAGAGAUCUGGAGGAAUACCGGUGGCGAAGGCGGCCCCCUGGACAAAGACUGACGCUCAGGUGCGAAAGCGUGGGGAGCAAACAGGAUUAGAUACCCUGGUAGUCCACGCCGUAAACGAUGUCUACUUGGAGGUUGUGCCCUUGAGGCGUGGCUUCCGGAGCUAACGCGUUAAGUAGACCGCCUGGGGAGUACGGCCGCAAGGUUAAAACUCAAAUGAAUUGACGGGGGCCCGCACAAGCGGUGGAGCAUGUGGUUUAAUUCGAUGCAACGCGAAGAACCUUACCUGGUCUUGACAUCCACAGAACUUUCCAGAGAUGGAUUGGUGCCUUCGGGAACUGUGAGACAGGUGCUGCAUGGCUGUCGUCAGCUCGUGUUGUGAAAUGUUGGGUUAAGUCCCGCAACGAGCGCAACCCUUAUCCUUUGUUGCCAGCGGUUAGGCCGGGAACUCAAAGGAGACUGCCAGUGAUAAACUGGAGGAAGGUGGGGAUGACGUCAAGUCAUCAUGGCCCUUACGACCAGGGCUACACACGUGCUACAAUGGCGCAUACAAAGAGAAGCGACCUCGCGAGAGCAAGCGGACCUCAUAAAGUGCGUCGUAGUCCGGAUUGGAGUCUGCAACUCGACUCCAUGAAGUCGGAAUCGCUAGUAAUCGUGGAUCAGAAUGCCACGGUGAAUACGUUCCCGGGCCUUGUACACACCGCCCGUCACACCAUGGGAGUGGGUUGCAAAAGAAGUAGGUAGCUUAACCUUCGGGAGGGCGCUUACCACUUUGUGAUUCAUGACUGGGGUGAAGUCGUAACAAGGUAACCGUAGGGGAACCUGCGGUUGGAUCACCUCCUUACCUUAAAGAA
rnacentral:rRNA from 1 species